rnacentral:rRNA from 1 species
UGGGGAAUAUUGCACAAUGGGCGCAAGCCUGAUGCAGCCAUGCCGCGUGGGUGAAGAAGGCCUUCGGGUUGUAAAGCACUUUCAGCGGGGAGGAAGGCGAUAAGGUUAAUAACCUUGUCGAUUGACGUUACCCGCAGAAGAAGCACCGGCUAACUCCGUGCCAGCAGCCGCGGUAAUACGGAGGGUGCAAGCGUUAAUCGGAAUUACUGGGCGUAAAGCGCACGCAGGCGGUCUGUCAAGUCGGAUGUGAAAUCCCCGGGCUCAACCUGGGAACUGCAUUCGAAACUGGCAGGCUAGAGUCUUGUAGAGGGGGGUAGAAUUCCAGGUGUAGCGGUGAAAUGCGUAGAGAUCUGGAGGAAUACCGGUGGCGAAGGCGGCCCCCUGGACAAAGACUGACGCUCAGGUGCGAAAGCGUGGGGAGCAAACAGG